GGGCGAGUGGUGAAAUUGGCAGACACGCAGGAUUUAGGAUCCUGUGCCUCACGGCUUGCGGGUUCGAGUCCCGCCUCGCCCACCA
rnacentral:tRNA from 1 species